rnacentral:rRNA from 1 species
UACGUAGGGGGCUAGCGUUGUCCGGAAUCAUUGGGCGUAAAGCGCGUGUAGGCGGUUCGGUAAGUCCGCUGUGAAAGUCGGGGGCUCAACCCUCGGAUGCCGGUGGAUACUGUCGGACUAGAGUGCGGAAGAGGCGAGUGGAAUUCCUGGUGUAGCGGUGAAAUGCGCAGAUAUCAGGAGGAACACCGAUUGCGAAGGCAGCUCGCUGGGACGUUACUGACGCUGAGACGCGAAAGCGUGGGGAGCAAACGGG